UGUGUGUGUGUGUGUGUUCAGUAAAGUGCUUUCACAGGAAUAAUGGAUGAAGCUUUUAUCCUGACGCUCUCCUGUGUGUGUUUCAGCGGCUGCAGGACGUAUUCCUGGAGUUCAGCCACCAGGAUCUGCUGGAGUUCUACAAUCAGAUGGAGACGGUUCAGACUCAGCUGGACUCGCUGGCGUGAAUCAGUGUUGAGGAUUCAUUAAAGCUGCUUUACUCUGA